GGAUUAGAUACCCUGGUAGUCCACGCCGUAAACGAUGUCGACUAGCCGUUGGAGUCCUUGAGGCUUUAGUGGCGCAGCUAACGCCAUAAGUCGACCGCCUGGGGAGUACGGCCGCAAGGUUAAAACUCAAAUGAAUUGACGGGGGCCCGCACAAGCGGUGGAGCAUGUGGUUUAAUUCGAAGCAACGCGAAGAACCUUACCAUCCCUUUACAUCCAGAGAACUUACUAGAGAUAGUUUGGUGCCUUCGGGAACUCUGAGACAGGUGCUGCAUGGCUGUCGUCAGCUCGUGCUG
rnacentral:rRNA from 1 species